GGAAGGGUGGAUGAGCGGUUUAAGUCGCAUGCCUGGAAAGCAUGUGAGGGUUAACAGCCCUCCGCGGGUUCGAAUCCCGCCCCUUCCGCCA
rnacentral:tRNA from 1 species